UUUGUUUUAUGGCUAAAAGAUUGCCACAUGAGCUAGCGUCUGUUUCCCCUCUUCGUCACUUUCAGAGGGUCGAUUUAUCAGUGUUGCUAUAUCCCAAGUUCUCCACGCCCUUGUGUUUUGUUUUUGCUUAAAGUUUGCCACUGAAGCCAGCCUCUCUUGAGCAUCUUGGGCAGUUUCCGAGGGGAGAUUUCUCAGUGUUGCUUUUUCCCAGGACUGCACGCGCUUGUGUUUUGUUUUUGUUUACACAUUGCCUCCUGAGCUAGCCUAUGUAGCCCAUCUUGCUCAGUUUCAGAGCAUAGACUGCUCAGCGUUUCUCUUUCCCAUGGUCCCCACGCCCUUACGUUUUCUUUUUGCUCAAAUAUCGAACCUCAGCUAACCUCUGUUGCUCAUCUUCGUCAUCUUCACAUGGUAGAUUUCUCAGUGUUGUUUUUUCCCCAGGUCUCCACGUCCCUCAGAGUCUGUGUUUGUGUGUGUGUGUGUUGUCUUUGCAAGAUUGGGCCCUGAGCUAACGUGUGUCGCCCAUCUUUGUCAGAUUCAGUUGGUACAAUUUCAGGAUUGCCAUUUCCCAAGGUCUCCACUCCCUUGCGUCAUUUGUUUGUUUGUUUGUUUGUUUUGCUUUACGAUUGUCGCCUUAGCUAGCCUCUGUUGCCCUGCUUCCUCAGUUUAAGAUGGCGGAUUUCUCAGUGUUGCUGUUUCGCCAGAUCUCGACGCCGUUGUGUCUUUUUUUUCAGCCUAAUGGUUGGCACCUGAGCUAGCAUCUGUUGCACAUCUACUUCAGUUUCAGAGGGUAGAUUUAUCAGUGUUGAUUUUUCCGCAGGUCUCCACGUCCCUCACUGUCUGUGUGUGUUUGUUUUCUUUGCAAGACUGGCACCUUUCCUUAGGUGUGUUGCCGAUCUUUGUCAGUUUGAGAGGGAAGAUUAAUCAGUGUUGCUGUUUCCCAGGACUGCACGCCCUUGUGUUUUGUUUUUGCUUACACAUUGCCACCUGAGCUAGCCUAUGUAGCCCAUCUUCUUGAGUUUCAGAGGGUACAUUUCUGAAUGUUGCUGUCUACCCAGGUCUUCACGCCCUAGUGUUUUUUGGGGGGUUUUGUUUUAUUUUUUGCUUAAUGAUUGCCACCUGACCUAUCCUGUCAUGCCCAUCUUUGUCGGUUUUAGAGGGUAGAUUACUCAGUGUCGCUUUUUGCCCAGGUCUCCACAUCUCUCGUGUCUGUGUGUGUGUUUUCUUUUCAAUAUUGGCACCUGAGCUGACGUGUGUUGCCAAUCCUUGUCAGUUUCAGAGGGUAGAUUUCUCCGUGUUGCUCUUUCCCAAGUUCUCCACGCCCUUGUGUGUUCUUUUUGAUCAAAGAUUGAACCUGAGCUAGCCUCUGUUGCCCAUAUUCGUCAGUUUCAGAGGGUAGAUUUCUCAGUGUUGCUCUUUCCCAGGGUCUCCACGCCCUUCUGUGGUAUUUUUUGCUCAAAUAUUGAACGUGAGCUAGCCUCUGUUGCCCAUAUUCGUCAGUUUCAGAGGGUAGAUUUCUCAGUGUUGCUUUUUCCCCAGGUCUCCACGUCCCUCAGUGUCUGUGUUUGUGUGUGUGUGUGUUUUCUUUGCAAUAUUGGCACCUGAGCUGACGUGUGUUGCCAAUCUUUGUCAGUUUCAGACGGUACAUUUUUCAGGGUUGCUGUUUCCCAAGGUCUCCACUCCCUUGCCCUUUUUUUCUUUUUUGCUUAAAUAUUGUCGCCCGAGCUAGCCUUUGUUGCCAUGCUUCCUCAGUUUCAGAUGGUAGAUUUCUCAGUGUUGCUGUUUCGCCAGACCUCCACGCACUUGUGUCUUGUUAUUUUCUGCUUAAAGGUUGCCACCUGAGCUAGCCUCUCUUGCCCAUGUUCGUCAGUUUCGGAAGGUCGAUUUCACAGUGUCACUUUUUCCACAGGUCUGCCGCCCUUGUGUUUUGUUUUUGCUUAAAGUUUGGCACUGAAGCCAGCCUCUCUUGAGCAUCUUGGGCAGUUUCCGAGGGGAGAUUUCUCAGUGUUGCUUUUUCCCUGGUCUCCACGCCCUUGUGUUUUGUUUUUGCUUACACAUUGCCACCUGAACUAGCCUAGGUUGCCCAUCUUAUUCAGUUCAGAGAGUAUAUUUCUCAGUGUUGCUUUCUCCAAAGGUUUCCACGUCCUUGUUUGUUUUAUGGCUAAGACAUUGCCACCUGAGGUAGCCUCUGUUGCCCAACGUUGUCUGUUUCAAAGGUGAAUUUCUCAGUGUUGCUUUUUCCCCAGGUCUCCACGCCCUUGUGUUUUGUUUUUGCUUAACGAUUGCCACCUGAGCUAGCCUCUGUUGCCCAUCUUCCUCAGUUUCAGAGGGUAGAUAUUUCAGGGUUGCUUUUUCCCCAGGUCUCCACGCCUUUGUGUUUUGUUUUUGCUUAACGAUUGCCACCUGAGCUAGCCUCUCUUGCCCAUCUUCCUCAGUUUCAGAGGGUGGAUUUCUCCGUGUUGCUUUUUCCCCAGGUCUCCACGCCCUUGUGUGUUUCUUUUGCUUAAAGAUUGCCACCUGAGGUAGCCUCUGUUGCCCAUCCUCGUCAGUUUCAGAGGGUAGAUUUCUCAGUGUUGCUUUUUCCCCAGGUCUCCACGCCUUUGUGUUUUGUUUUUGCUUAACGAUUGCCACCUGAAGCCAGCCUCUCUUGCCCAUCUUCCUCAGUUUCAGAGGGUAGAUAUUUCAGGGUUGCUUUUUCCCCAGGUCUCCACGCCUUUGUGUUUUGUUUUUGCUUAACGAUUGCCACCUGAGCUAGCCUCUCUUGCCCAUCUUCCUCAGUUUCAGAGGGUGGAUUUCUCAGUGUUGCUUUUUCCCAGGUCUCCACGCCCUUGUGUGUUUCUUUUGCUUAAAGAUUGCCACCUGAGCUAGCCUCUGUUGCCCAUCUUCCUCAGUUUCAGAGGGUAGAUUUUUCAGGGUUGCUUUUUGACCGGGUCUCCUCGCCAUUGUAUUUUUUUAUUUUAUUUUUUUUGCUUAAAGAUUGCCACCUGAGCUAGCCUCUGUUGCCCAUCUUCUUCGGUUUCAGAGGGUAGAUUUCUCAGUGUUGCUUUUUCGCCAGCUCUCCACGCCCUUGCGUCUUUUUUUUUUCUGCUUAAAGGUUGCAACCUGAGCUAGCUUCUUUUGCCCAUGUUCGUCAGUUUCAGAGGGUGGAUUUCUCCGUGUUGCUUUUUCCCCAGGUCUCCACGCCCUUGUGUGUUUCUUUUGCUUAACGAUUGCCACCUGAGGUAGCCUCUGUUGCCCAUCCUCGUCAGUUUCAGAGGGUAGAUUUCUCAGUGUUGCUUUUUCCCCAGGUCUCCACGCCCUUGUGUGUUUCUUUUGCUUAAAGUUUGCCACCUGAAGCCAGCCUCUCUUGCCCAUCUUCCUCAGUUUCAGAGGGUAGAUAUUUCAGGGUUGCUUUUUCCCCAGGUCUCCACGCCUUUGUGUUUUGUUUUUGCUUAACGAUUGCCACCUGAGCUAGCCUCUCUUGCCCAUCUUCCUCAGUUUCAGAGGGUGGAUUUCUCCGUGUUGCUUUUUCCCCAGGUCUCCACGCCCUUGUGUGUUUCUUUUGCUUAACGAUUGCCACCUGAGGUAGCAUCUGUUGCCCAUCCUCAUCAGUUUCAGAAGGUAGAUUUCUCAGUGCUGCUUUUCCCCAGGUCUCCACGCCCUUGUGUGUUUGUUUUGCUUAAAGUUUGCCACCUGAGCCAGCCUCUCUUGCCCAUCUUCCACAGUUUCAGACGGUAGAUAUUUCAGGGUUGCUUUUUCCCCAGGUCUCCACGCCUUUGUGUUUUGUUUUUGCUUAACGAUUGCCACCUGAGCUAGCCUCUGUUGCCCAUCUUCCUCAGUUUCAGAGGGUGGAUUUCUCCGUGUUGCUUUUUCCCCAGGUCUCCACGCCCUUGUGUGUUUCUUUUGCUUAAAGAUUGCCACCUGAGCUAGCCUCUGUUGCCCAUCUUCGUCCGUUUCAGAGGGUGGAUUUCUCAGUGUUGCUUUUUCCCCAGGUCUCCACGCCCUUGUGUGUUUCUUUUGCUUAAAGAUUGUCACCUGAGCUAGGCACUGUUGCCCUGCUUCCUCAGUUUCAGAGGGUACCUUUUUCAGGGUUGCUUUUUGACCGGGUCUCCUCGCCAUUGUAUUUUUUUAUUUAUUUUUUUUUGCUUAAAGAUUGCCACCUGAGCUAGCCUCUGUUGCCCAUCUUCUUCGGUUUCAGAGGGUAGAUUUCUCAGUGUUGCUUUUUCGCCAGCUCUCCACGCCCUUGCGUCGUUUUUUGUUCCUGCUUAAAGGUUGCAACCUGAGCUAGCUUCUUUUGCCCAUGUUCGUCAGUUUCAGAGGGUGGAUUUCUCCGUGUUGCUUUUUCCCCAGGUCUCCACGCCCUUGUGUGUUUCUUUUGCUUUACGAUUGCCACCUGAGGUAGCCUCUGUUGCCCAUCCUCAUCAGUUUCAGAAGGUAGAUUUCUCAGUGCUGCUUUUCCCCCAGGUCUCCACGCCCUUGUGUGUUUCUUUUGCUUCAACUUUGCCACCUGAAGCCAGCCUCUCUUGCCCAUCUUCCUCAGUUUCAGAGGGUAGAUAUUUCAGGGUUGCUUUUUCCCCAGGUCUCCAUGCCUUUGUGUUUUGUUUUUGCUUAACGAUUGCCACCUGAGGUAGCCUCUCUUGCCCAUCUUCCUCAGUUUCAGAGGGUGGAUUUCUCCGUGUUGCUUUUUCCCCAGGUCUCCACGCCCUUGUGUGUUUUUUUUGCUUAAAGAUUGCCACCUGAGCUAGCCUCUGUUGCCCAUCUUCGUCCGUUUCAGAGGGUGGAUUUCUCAGUGUUGCUUUUUCCCCAGCUCUCCACGCCCUUGUGUGUUUCUUUUGCUUAAAGAUUGCCACCUGAGGUAGCCUCUGUUGCCCAUCCUCGUCAGUUUCAGAGGGUAGAUUUCUCAGUGUUGCUUUUUCCCCAGGUCUCCACGCCCUUGUGUGUUUCUUUUGCUUAACGAUUGCCACCUCAGCUAGCCUCUGUUGCCCAUCUUCGUCAGUUUCAGAGGGUGGAUUUCUCAGUGUUGCUUUUUCCCCAGGUCUCCACGCCCUUGUGUGUUUCUUUUGCUUAACGAUUGCCACCUCAGCUAGCCUCUGUUGCUCAUCUUCGUCUGUUUCAGAGGGUGGAUUUCUCAGUGUUGCCUUUUCACCAGCUCCCCACGCCCUUGUGUGUUUCUUUUGCUUAACGAUUGCCACCUCAGCUAGCCUCUGUUGCCCAUCUUCGUCAGUUUCAGAGGGUGGAUUUCCCAGUUGUGCUUUUUCCCCAGGUCUCCACGCGCUUUUGUGUGUGUGUGUGUGUGUGUGUGUGUGUGUUCCUGCUUAAAGAUUGCCACCCGAGCUAGCCACUGUUUCCCAUCUUCGUCCGUUUCAGAGGAUGGAUUUCUCAGUGUUGCCUUUUCGCCAGCUCCCCACGCCCUUGUGUGUUUCUUUUGCUUAAAGAUUGCCACCUGAGCUAGCCUCUGUUGCGCUUCUUUCUCAGUUUCAGAGGGUAGAUUUCUCCGUGUUGCUUUUUCCCCAGGUCUCCACGCACUUCCUUUUAUUUUUCCUUAAAAAUUGCCACCUGAGCUAGCCUCUGUUGCCCAUCUUCGUCGGUUUCAGAGGGUAGAUUUCUCAGUGUUGCUUUUUCCCCAGGUCUCUACGUGCUUGUGUGUGUGUGUGUGUGUGUGUGUGUGUGUGUGUGUGUUUUCUGCUUAAAGAUUGCCACCUGAGCUAGCCCCUGUUGCCCAUCUUCGUCGGUUUCAGAGGGUAGAUUUCUCAGCGUUGCUUUUUCCCCAGGUCUCCACUCACUUCCUUUUAUUUUUUCUUCAUAAUUGCCACCUGAGCUAGCCUCUGUUGCCCAUCUUCGUCGGUUUCAGAGGGUAGAUUUCUCAGCGUUGCUUUUUCCCCAGGUCUCUACGUGCUUGUGUGU
ensembl:lncRNA